ACCCAUGGACCUCCACGUCGAGGACUGAGCCUCUAUCUAUGGGCGCACGCUCUACCACUAGGCCACCCAGGCACCCUAUUCUCUCCUCUUUGACAGUAAACUCAAUAUCUAUCUAUCU